rnacentral:rRNA from 1 species
GAUGAACGCUGGCGGCGUGCCUAAUACAUGCAAGUCGAGCGAACAGACGAGGAGCUUGCUCCUCUGACGUUAGCGGCGGACGGGUGAGUAACACGUGGAUAACCUACCUAUAAGACUGGGAUAACUUCGGGAAACCGGAGCUAAUACCGGAUAAUAUAUUGAACCGCAUGGUUCAAUAGUGAAAGACGGUUUUGCUGUCACUUAUAGAUGGAUCCGCGCCGCAUUAGCUAGUUGGUAAGGUAACGGCUUACCAAGGCAACGAUGCGUAGCCGACCUGAGAGGGUGAUCGCCCACACUGGAACUGGGACACGGUCCAGACUCCUACGGGAGGCAGCAGUAGGGAAUCUUCCGCAAUGGGCGAAAGCCUGACGGAGCAACGCCGCGUGAGUGAUGAAGGUCUUCGGAUCGUAAAACUCUGUUAUUAGGGAAGAACAAAUGUGUAAGUAACUAUGCACGUCUUGACGGUACCUAAUCAGAAAGCCACGGCUAACUACGUG